rnacentral:rRNA from 1 species
UGGGGAAUAUUGGGCAAUGGGCGCAAGCCUGACCCAGCAACGCCGCGUGAAGGAAGAAGGCUUUCGGGUUGUAAACUUCUUUUGAGGGGGACGAAACAAAUGACGGUACCCCUUGAAUAAGCCACGGCUAACUACGUGCCAGCAGCCGCGGUAAUACGUAGGUGGCAAGCGUUAUCCGGAUUUAUUGGGUGUAAAGGGCGUGUAGGCGGGAGUGCAAGUCAGAUGUGAAAACUAUGGGCUCGACCCAUAGCCUGCAUUUGAAACUGUACUUCUUGAGUGCUGGAGAGGCAAUCGGAAUUCCGUGUGUAGCGGUGAAAUGCGUAGAUAUACGGAGGAACACCAGUGGCAAAUGGCGGAUUGCUGGACAGUAACUGACGCUGAGGCGCGAAAGCGUGGGGAGCAAACAGGAUUAGAUACC